rnacentral:rRNA from 1 species
UCGUAGUGACCUGCGGAGGAUCAUU